rnacentral:rRNA from 1 species
GGGUCAGUAGGUUGGUCGUGCCACCGGUACGUACUGGUCUCGCUGAUUCCUCCUUCCUGAAGAGCCGUAAUGCCAUUAAUUUGGUGCUGCGGGGAAACAGGACUGUUACUUUGAAAAAAUUAGAGUGUUUAAAGCAAGCUAACGCUUGAAUACAUUAGCAUGGAAUAAUGAAAUAGGACGAUCGAUCCUAUUUUGUUGGUUUCUAGGAUUGACGUA